AACGAACGCUGGCGGCAUGCCUAACACAUGCAAGUCGAACGAGACCUUCGGGACUAGUGGCGCACGGGUGCGUAACGCGGGGGAACCUGCCCUUAGGUUCGGAAUAACUCCCCGAAAGGGGUGCUAAUACCGGAUAAUGUCUUCGGAUCAAAGAUUUAUCGCCUUUGGAUGGGCCCGCGUUGGAUUAGCUAGUUGGUAGGGUAAAAGCCUACCAAGGCGACGAUCCAUAGCUGGUCUGAGAGGAUGAUCAGCCACACUGGGACUGAGACACGGCCCAGACUCCUACGGGAGGCAGCAGUGGGGAAUAUUGGACAAUGGGCGAAAGCCUGAUCCAGCAAUGCCGCGUGAGUGAUGAAGGCCUUAGGGUUGUAAAGCUCUUUUACCCGGGAUGAUAAUGACAGUACCGGGAGAAUAAGCUCCGGCUAACUCCGUG
rnacentral:rRNA from 1 species